GAUGAACGCUGGCGGCGUGCCUAAUACAUGCAAGUAGAACGCUGAAGGAAGGAGCUUGCUCUUUCCGGAUGAGUUGCGAACGGGUGAGUAACGCGUAGGUAACCUGCCUGGUAGCGGGGGAUAACUAUUGGAAACGAUAGCUAAUACCGCAUAACAGUAGAUAUUGCAUGAUAUCUGCUUGAAAGGGGCAAUUGCUCCACUACCAGAUGGACCUGCGUUGUAUUAGCUAGUUGGUGAGGUAACGGCUCACCAAGGCGACGAUACAUAGCCGACCUGAGAGGGUGAUCGGCCACACUGGGACUGGGACACGGCCCAGACUCCUACGGGAAGCAGCAGUAGGGAAUCUUCGGCAAUGGACGGAAGUCUGACCGGGCAACGCCGCGGGGGUGGAGAAGGUUUUCGGAUCGUAAAGCUCUGUUGUAAGGGAAGAACGAGUGUGAGAGUGGAAAGUUCACACUGUGACGGUAUCUUACCAGAAAGGGACGGCUAACUACGUG
rnacentral:rRNA from 1 species